GUGUGUGUGUGUGUGUGUGUGUGUGUGCACACCUGUGCCUCCCUGUCUCUGCCUGGCCAGAUUUUAUUUGGGUUUAUCCUCCCUCGGAUCGACAAUCAUCGGGGCCGGGCUGUGUGUCUCCCGCCGUAGGGACUCAUUGCUACAUACAUGGAGACGGCCGGCCGAAAGAAGAGAAAGACACAAGCUCAGAAAGAUAUGAGCAGAGAGCUUGUGUCGUUCCUCCUGCACCUGUCAAAGAGGCAGCUGCGGACUCUCUUGCCUCCUCCCACUGGCCGCCCCCGAUCGUCGGAUGCUUCCACCGUGGAGGAGGGAGAAAAAAAAAAAUCUCAGCCCGGCCCCACCGGCUGCCUUUGCCUCGGAGACAAUGGCGGU